UUUUAUUUGAGAGUUUGAUCCUGGCUCAGGAUGAACGCUGGCGGCGUGCCUAACACAUGCAAGUUGAGCGAUUUACUUCGGUAAAGAGCGGCGGACGGGUGAGUAACGCGUGGGUAACCUACCCUGUACACACGGAUAACAUACCGAAAGGUAUGCUAAUACGGGAUAAUAUAUUUGAGAGGCAUCUCUUAAAUAUCAAAGGUGAGCCAGUACAGGAUGGACCCGCGUCUGAUUAGCUAGUUGGUAAGGUAACGGCUUACC
rnacentral:rRNA from 1 species